rnacentral:piRNA from 1 species
CUCCCCGUCAGUUCCUUCAUGCAGACCCAA